ACCAACAGGGAUUGCCCUAGUAACGGCGAGUGAAGCGGCAACAGCUCAAAUUUGAAAUCUGGCUCUUUUAGAGUCCGAGUUGUAAUUUGCAGAGGGCGCUUUGGCUUUGGCAGCGGUCCAAGUUCCUUGGAACAGGACGUCACAGAGGGUGAGAAUCCCGUACGUGGUCGCUAGCUAUUGCCGUGUAAAGCCCCUUCGACGAGUCGAGUUGUUUGGGAAUGCAGCUCUAAAUGGGAGGUAAAUUUCUUCUAAAGCUAAAUACUGGCCAGAGACCGAUAGCGCACAAGUAGAGUGAUCGAAAGAUGAAAAGCACUUUGGAAAGAGAGUCAAACAGCACGUGAAAUUGUUGAAAGGGAAGCGCUUGCAGCCAGACUUGCUUGCAGUUGCUCACCCGGGCCUCUGUGCCCGGUGCAUUCUUCUGCAGGCAGGCCAGCAUCAGUUUGGGCGGUGGGAUAAAGGUCUCUGUCACGUACCUCUCUUCGGGGAGGCCUUAUAGGGGAGGCGACAUACCACCAGCCUGGACUGAGGUCCGCGCAUUUAUGCUAGGAUGCUGGCGUAAUGGCUGUAAGCGGCCCGUCUUGAAACACGGACCAAGGAGUCUAACAUCUAUGCGAGUGUUUGGGUGUCAAGCCCGAACGCGUAAUGAAAGUGAACGGAGGUGGGAACCCGCAAGGGUGCACCAUCGACCGAUCCUGAUGUCUUCGGAAGGAUUUGAGUAAGAGCAUGGCUGUUGGGACCCGAAAGAUGGUGAACUAUGCUUGAAUAGGGUGAAGCCAGAGGAAACUCUGGUGGAGGCUCGCAGCGGUUCUGACGUGCAAAUCGAUCGUCAAAUUUGGGCAUAGGGGCGAAAGACUAAUC
rnacentral:rRNA from 1 species